UACGUAGGGUGCAAGCGUUUAAUCGGAAUUACUGGGCGUAAAGCGUGCGCAGGCGGUGAUGUAAGACAGAUGUGAAAUCCCCGGGCUCAACCUGGGAACUGCAUUUGUGACUGCAUCGCUGGAGUACGGCAGAGGGGGAUGGAAUUCCGCGUGUAGCAGUGAAAUGCGUAGAUAUGCGGAGGAACACCGAUGGCGAAGGCAAUCCC
rnacentral:rRNA from 1 species